rnacentral:RNase_P_RNA from 1 species
UGUUUUGGGUGAUCGCUAUAGCAAUAUAGAGGAAAGUCCAUGCUCACACAAUCUGAGAUGAUUGUAGUGUUCGUGCUUGAUGAAACAAUAAGUCAAGGCAUUAAUUUGACGGCAAUGAAAUAACCUAAGUCUUUUAGAUACGGUUAAAAUAGUUUGAAAGUGCCACAGUGACGUAGCUUUUAUAGAAAUAUAAAAGGUGGAACGCGGUAAACCCCUCGAGUGAGCAAUCCAAAUUAGGUAGGAGCACUUAUUUAACGGAAUUCAACGUAUAAAUAAGACAUGCUUUUUAAAAGUAUGUAGACAGAUGGUUACCACCAGCGUACGAGUGUCUCUAGUACACGAUGGCAGUACAACGGUACAAAACAUGGCUUACAGAA